GCCUAAAAUCUAGCUCGACACAACCACAUGUAACCUAUCCCCCCUACACUACCAAACAAAACAUUUUCCACAUUUAGUAUAGGCGAUCAAAAAAUGUCUAGAAGCAUUAGAAACUAGUACCGCAAGGGAAAGAUGAAAUAAAAAUGAAAUAAAUUUAAAGCAACACAAAGCAGAGCCUAACCCUCGUACCUUUUGCAUCAUGGUCUAGCUAGUCCAACCAAGCAAAAAGCAAUUUAAGUUUGACCCCCCGAAACUAAGCGAGCUACUUCAAAACAGCCUCAUGGGCCAACCCGUCUCUGUUGCAAAAGAGUGGGAAGAUUUUCAAGUAGAGAUGAUAUAUCUAACGAGCUUAGAGAUAGCUGGUUAUUCAAGACAAGGAUUUUAGUCCUUCCUUAAGCCACCUAAUAUUAUACAAUAUACCAAAUGACUUAAGAGCUAUUCAAAUAAGGUACAGCCUAUUUGAAACAGGAUACAACCUCCACCACAGGGUAAUGAACCAAACCCCGCGACUAAGUGGGCCUAAAAGCAGCCACCUUACAAAAAGCGUUAAAGCUUUAUCGCCACCCUAAAAUAAUUCCACCCCCACCACAAAACCCUUAACCCCUAUUGAAUGACUCCAUAUUAUUAUGGAAAACCAUAUGCUAGAACUAGUAACAAGAAGACGCCCUUCUCCAAAAUAUAAGUGUAAGCCAGAAUGAACUAUUCACCGGCACUUACCGCUAAUGACUUUAUAAUAGCAACUCAACAAGAAAACCCUAUUUCAACCCAGCGUUAACCUUACACCAGCGUAUUUCUGGAAAGAUUAAAAGGAGAAGAAGGAACUCGGCAAACCCCUAACCCCGCCUGUUUACCAAAAACAUCGCCUCUUGACCACACUAUAAGAGGUCCAGCCUGCCCAGUGACAAAGUUAAACGGCCGCGGUACCCUAACCGUGCGAAGGUAGCGCAAUCACUUGUUCUUUAAAUGAGGACUAGUAUGAAUGGCAUCACGAGGGUUAUACUGUCUCCUUCCCCCAAUCAGUGAAACUGACCCCCCCGUGAAGAGGCGGGGAUAAUCCUAUAAGACGAGAAGACCCCAUGGAGCUUUAAACUCAGCACCACUUGCCACCAACACACACCAUCUUAACUAGGCAAACCUGACUGCUAGUUUUCGGUUGGGGUGACCGCGGAGCAAAACAAAACCUCCACGAUGAAUGGACUUCACUUCCUAAUCAAAGAGCCACCACUCAAAGAAUCAACAAACUGACAUAACUUGACCCAAUUACUUUUGAUCAACGAACCAAGUUACCCUGGGGAUAACAGCGCAAUCCACUUCAAGAGCCCCUAUCGACAAGUGGGUUUACGACCUCGAUGUUGGAUCAGGGUAUCCCAGUGGUGCAGCCGCUACUAACGGUUCGUUUGUUCAACGAUUAAAACCCU
rnacentral:rRNA from 1 species